rnacentral:rRNA from 1 species
UUUGAAAAUAAUUUAAAGUAGGGCCUGCCCACUGAGUAUUUUGAAGGGCCGCAGUAUUUUGACUGUGCAAAGGUAGCAUAAUCAUUAGUUUUUUAAUUGAAAGCUUGUAUGAAUGGUUUGAUGAAAAAAUGACUUUCUUUACUUUAAUUUUUAAAAACUUUAUUUUUAAGUUAAAAAGCUUAAAUUUUUUUAAUAGACGAGAAGACCCUAUAGAGUUUUAUUUAUUUAAAUUUUUAAAUUUUUAGAAUUUAAUAAUUUUUAAUUUUAAAUAAAUUUGGUUGGGGUGAUUAAAAAAUUUAAUAAACUUUUUUUAUAUAAUAACAUUAAUUUAUGAAUUGUUGAUCCAUUAAAAUGAUUAAAAGAAUAAAUUACCUUAGGGAUAACAGCGUUAUUUUUUUUUAGAGUUCUAAUCGAAAAAAAAGAUUGCGACCUCGAUGUUGGAUUAAAGUUAAUUUUAGGUGUAGAAGCUUAAAUAUUUGGUCUGUUCGACCAUUAAAACUUUACA